ACACCUUAUCGUCUUACAGUAGUGUGCAUUGAUAGGUACCUCCAACAAUUUGUACAAUAAUUCAGCUCGAUAUAUAUUAACUCAGUUUUAUAUUAUGGUCUUUCUCUAAUUCGUGAUUAGAUAUACUUUACCACAGAACAGAGAAAAAGAAGUAGAAGUAGUAUGUAGGCGGGGCACGCGUAGCCCCUGAUAAGUACAGAUAUGCUUAUGUUUGUCAUUUAGGCGUUUGUACGCAUAUCAGUCUUCGUUGGACUGCAUAACGUCAACUAGACUUGGAAAAAACCGUCAAAAAUCGAAAAAAAUAUAAAAAUGACGAAAUGUGCUAUUUUAUAGUAAAAAGAUGAAAGCCAUGACAAAAAUGUGCCUUGUAGUGGUAUAUCGUAUCAUCGAUUUCCGAAGGAUCCAGAAAUAAAAGGAAAAUGGAUCGAGAUGACUGGAAGACAAAAUUGGUUUCCUGCCACUAACUAGUACAAUUUGUUUGGACCAUGUUGUACAACAAGAUAUUAUAUUAUGAGUAUAACCGAAAAAAAUGCGCAAUUUUUGACUAUAAAUAAUCAGUUAAAUUUCUAGAUUGUGCAGGCAGAAAUACCUAAUCACGUUAUGUUUGUUUAACUUUGUUUAAUGUUCAGUUUUAUUUUCUAUUUUUUGUAACAUACGACCGUAAUAAAAAGUACUUUAUAUAUAAAA